rfam:Rattus norvegicus chromosome 6, whole genome shotgun sequence.
GGGGAUUUAGCUCAGUGAUAGAGCGCUUGCCUAGCAAGCACAAGGCCCUGGGUUCGGUCCCCAGCUCCA